CUUGGAUUUUGCCAAGGCAUUUAAAACGGUUCCUCACAAUAGGUUAGUUUUCAAACUAAAAGAAAUUGGUUUAGAUGAAUAUUUUUGUUCUUGGGUAGAACAUUGGCUUAAGGAUAGAGUACAACGAGUUGUAAUUAAUGGUACAUUUUCAGGCUGGACUAAAGUGGUAAGUGGUGUCCCUCACGGUUCUGUUUUGGGACCACUUCUAUGUGCAGAUGACACAAAACUUUGUAAAGUAAUAAAAUGUGAGCAGGUUAUUGCUUUGCUGCAGAGGGAUUU